AUUGAACGCUGGCGGCAGGCCUAACACAUGCAAGUCGAGCGGAUGAAGGGAGCUUGCUCCUGGAUUCAGCGGCGGACGGGUGAGUGAUGCCUAGGAAUCUGCCUGGUAGUGGGGGAUAACGUCCGGAAACGGGCGCUAAUACCGCAUACGUCCUGAGGGAGAAAGUGGGGGAUCUUCGGACCUCACGCUAUCAGAUGAGCCUAGGUCGGAUUAGCUAGUUGGUGGGGUAAAGGCCUACCAAGGCGACGACCCGUAACUGGUCUGAGAGGAUGAUCAGUCACACUGGAACUGGGACACGGUCCAGACUCCUACGGGAGGCAGCAGUGGGGAAUAUUGGACAAUGGGCGAAAGCCUGAUCCAGCCAUGCCGCGUGUGUGAAGAAGGUCUUCGGAUUGUAAAGCACUUUAAGUUGGGAGGAAGGGCAGUAAGUUAAUACCUUGCUGUUUUGACGUUACCAACAGAAUAAGCACCGGCUAACUUCGUG
rnacentral:rRNA from 1 species